rnacentral:tRNA from 1 species
GAGGGUAUAGCUCAGUGGAAGAGCACAUGCUUAGCAUGCAUGAAGUCCUAAGUUCAAUCCCCAGUACCUCCA